UAGGGAAUCUUCGGCAAUGGACGAAAGUCUGACCGAGCAACGCCGCGUGAGUGAAGAAGGUUUUCGGAUCGUAAAACUCUGUUGUUAGAGAAGAACAAGGACGUUAGUAACUGAACGUCCCCUGACGGUAUCUAACCAGAAAGCAACGGCUAACUACGUGCCAGCAGCCGCGGUAAUACGUAGGUGGCAAGCGUUGUCCGGAUUUAUUGGGCGUAAAGCGAGCGCAGGCGGUUUUUUAAGUCUGAUGUGAAAGCCCCCGGCUCAACCGGGGAGGGUCAUUGGAAACUGGGAGGCUUGAGUGCAGAAGAGGAGAGUGGAAUUCCAUGUGUAGCGGUGAAAUGCGUAGAUAUAUGGAGGAACACCAGUGGCGAAGGCGGCUCUCUGGUCUGUAACUGACGCUGAGGCUCGAAAGCGUGGGGAGCAAACAGG
rnacentral:rRNA from 1 species